rnacentral:rRNA from 1 species
UACACUCCUGCGGGAGGCAGCAGUGGGGAAUUUUGGACAAUGGGGGCAACCCUGAUCCAGCAAUGCCGCGUGAGUGAAGAAGGCCUUCGGGUUGUAAAGCUCUUUUGUCAGGGAAGAAACGGUGGUGGCGAAUAACUACUACUAAUGACGGUACCUGAAGAAUAAGCACCGGCUAACUACGUGCCAGCAGCCGCGGUAAUACGUAGGGUGCAAGCGUUAAUCGGAAUUACUGGGCGUAAAGCGUGCGCAGGCGGUUGUGUAAGUCAGAUGUGAAAUCCCCGGGCUCAACCUGGGAAUUGCAUUUGAGACUGCACGGCUAGAGUGUGUCAGAGGGGGGUAGAAUUCCACGUGUAGCAGUGAAAUGCGUAGAUAUGUGGAGGAAUACCGAUGGCGAAGGCAGCCCCCUGGGAUAACACUGACGCUCAUGCACGAAAGCGUGGGGAGCAAACAGGAUUAGAAACCCUGGUAGUCCAUG